GGUCAAUACAUCCACUCUUGAGGUAAGCAAAUUUCUUGAUUAUUGAGGACACUCUCUGCCUGUAAAUUUCCCUUCUGUUGCGCCAAUAGCCCAUUUCUUGCCAUCAAAGCAUCUUGGAUGUUCAUGUCCUUAAGGUUCAAAUCUAGAGCCUGAACAACCUUGGCUUGGACCAGAACUGUGGAGCAAGCUGAUUUCUUCUUACAAGCAGAGGGAUUGGUGUAUCCGCGAGGCAAGAAAAC
rnacentral:misc_RNA from 1 species